GAGUGUGAGCGUGGUCUGUGUGUGUGUGUGUGUGUGUGUGUGUGUGUGCGCGCGCGCGUGCGCGCGUGCUUCACGCACGUGCUCCCAGCCCUCAGAGGUGAGGGUGGGAUGGGGGAGGGGAGGUGCCAUGCCUCUGGUGUGCCUAUGAGUGAGACAAACUUUUUCCACACCUGUUCUUCAUAUGCUACUCAUCCGCGUGCACUCUCCAUCUCUCCCAGAAUCACGGAUCUCCUGGGUUCUCUCUCCCUGGCUCUGGGAAGGAUGGAGCUGUAGGUCCUCUCAUCCUCAGGAACCAUCAAACUCCAGCUGACAUGGACCUCAGGCUGGGGCUGAGCAUUCACACUGGAAGCCUUGCUUCUUGCAUCUGCACCAUCUGAAAGAUCAGCAGCAGAACUUGGCCCAGAGAGAGAAGGAAUAACUCAGGAUCCACAGCAAAGAGAACAGAGGCUGCUGGACGGAUUCCCAAGGGGAUGUGGCCUGUCAGGCCCUAAACCCAAACCUACAGAUGCCCAGGCCCAGCCUCCAGCUCCUUCAGCUGUGAUAACCAUUGUCCCCCAGUCCCCAAAACACGUCUGUUCACCUUCUUCCUGCACUGAAUAAAGAUCAGGAUUAGCAACAAUGGAUACUUCUAAAAAGUAGGUUUUAGAAGAAUCUCAGAAAUAUAGAGUGCCAAAAUGUCAGAGCUGAGAAGGAAAUUAAAACCACCUGG